GGGCGAUUAGCUCAGGGGGAGAGCGCUUGCUUCACACGCAAGAAGUCGUAGGUUCAAAUCCUACAUCGCCCA
rnacentral:tRNA from 1 species